rnacentral:rRNA from 1 species
UACGUAGGAUCCAAGCGUUGUCCGGAUUUACUGGGUGUAAAGGGUGCGUAGGCGGCUUAUUAAGUCAGGGGUGAAAGACGGUAGCUUAACUAUCGCAGUGCCUUUGAUACUGAUAGGCUUGAAUGUACUUGAGGUAGGCGGAAUGUGACAAGUAGCGGUGAAAUGCAUAGAUAUGUCACAGAACACCAAUUGCGAAGGCAGCUUACUAAAGUAUGAUUGACGCUGAGGCACGAAAGCGUGGGGAUCAAACAGG